UGUCAAUUUUGGUUGGAUGUAUUCUUGGUGAUAUCAUCAUAUGACAUAAUCUAUAAUUAAAGAUUAAUCUUUAAUUCCUGGAGACUCCAGGCCAAUCCUGGAGGGUUGGCAACCCUAUAAGAGUUAGGUCCAUUC